rnacentral:tRNA from 1 species
AAUUAAUGAGCUUAUCUAAGCAUUUGUUUUGAAAACUUAAGAAAGAAUAUAACCAUUCUAUUAAUUU